GUCUUCUCAUUGAGCGCCUUUCUGUCAGUUGGUGGCAGCUCACAGAUUCGCAAGAGAAGAGACAGUUCACAGAACUAGCAUGCUUCAGCCUUCUGUCUUCGCACAGAGGUAUGUUUGGCUGUUUGGUGAGACAUUC